CAGUCGCCGCGGGAAUACAGAGGGUGCGAGCGUUAAUCGGAUUUACUGGGCGUAAAGCGUGCGUAGGCGGCUUUUUAAGUCGGAUGUGAAAUCCCUGAGCUUAACUUAGGAAUUGCAUUCGAUACUGGGAAGCUAGAGUAUGGGAGAGGAUGGUAGAAUUCCAGGUGUAGCGGUGAAAUGCGUAGAGAUCUGGAGGAAUACCGAUGGCGAAGGCAGCCAUCUGGCUUAAUACUGACGCUGAGGUACGAAAGCAUGGGGAGCAAACAGGAUUAGAUACCCCCGUAGUCCCUGUCUCUUAUAC
rnacentral:rRNA from 1 species